UGCAAGAAAAGCGUCGCUAAAGGUCAUGAUCUUUAGACAUAUUAUUUUAAUAAAUUAGUGUUGGAAGUGGUGAUCCUACAUAUGUCCUACGUUGUACAAGUUAAGUGCUCCCGCCCCUCCUCAGCCCCUCUUUAGCUAGUAUAUGGGCUAACUACCAUCUACCUCAGUAAUUCUGGUCAUCAUGUUCUGCAUUCAACGAUUUGGAACUGACAAAUUGGGAUAUUCACUUGCAUCAAUCAUAUGCCUGUGGUUUACCUUGCUAAGUGGUAUUGGUUUGUACAACCUCUUCACAUAUGGUUGGGGUGUGUUACGUGCGUUUAAUCCGUUGCAUAUAGUGGACUACUUCAAAAGACGCGGUAAGAACUGGUGGAUAUCACUUGGAGAAGUAGUACUUUGCAUUACCAGUGAGUGCUUCUAGCUUUUACUUUAUAUCUUUUUGUUAUUUUAAUACCCUUCCCUGUUAUGUCUAAAUUGUAUGGACAUUUGACAAUAGAAGCCGAGGCUAUAUUUGUUGAUUUGGGUCACUUCAGUGUUCGAGCGGUUCAAGUAAAUUAUUUACUUCAUGCAACCAGUGGAAAAUAGGAUGGUUUAAUAGGAAACUGUUGUACAUAUAUAUUAUUCAACAUUUGUGUGUUUGUGCAUGAACAUCUUUACCUGACUCUUCAUUACCAUUUUUAUGGCACCUUAUUUCAUUUUCUCAGCGAUCAAAA